rnacentral:lncRNA from 1 species
AUUUCAGUGGCUUACAACCACAAAGGUUUAUUUCUCAUUAUGCAAUCUGGAGGGUCAGUUGAGGGCUCUGUUCAACCCCAUCAUCAUCCUCCCCCUAGGACCUGGGCUGAUAGCACAACAUCACCUAGGUUAUUGCCAGUCGCUGUGACCAAGGGAAAAGAGAACAUGGCAGAGCAUAACUUGGUUCCUAAAACUUCUGGCCAGAAGUGACACUUCCACUCACAUUUUAUUGGCCAGACAAAGUCCCAUAGUCAUGCUUUAACUCAACUGAGACAGAAAAUUCUAACCUGGGGAAAGAGAGAAAAAAAAAAGGAUUUGUGAACAAUCUUAAUGACUACUCCACAUGCAAAUUCUGGUCCUGUGAAUCUAGGAACUGCUGUGGACUGAAUGCAUGCAUUCCCCAAAACUUUAUUUGCUGAAGCCCUAAUCCCCAAUGUAAUGGUAUUUAGAGGUGGUGCCUUUGGGAGGUGAUUAGGUCAUAAGGGUGCAUCCCUCAUGAAUGGGAUUAGUGCCCUAAAAUACACAAAAGAGAUUCUCUCUCUCUCUCUCUCUCCACCAUGUGAGGACACAGCAAGAGAUCCAGCAAGAAGCUCAGAACCCAUCUGCUGAAGCACAGAAGAGGGGUUCAGGACCCAUCUGUUGAAGCUCAGAGAGUGGCUCAGGACCCCAUCUGCUGAAGCUUAGAGAGCGGCUCAGGACCCCAUCUUCUGAAGCUCAGAGAGGGGCUCAGGACCCCAUCUGCUGAAGCUCAGAGAGGGGCUCAGGAUCCCAUCUUCUGAAGCUCAGAAGAGCGGCUCAGGACCCCAUCUUCUGAAGCUCAGAAGAGCGGCUCAGGACACCAUCUUCUGAAGCUCAGAGAGCGGCUCAGGACCCCAUCUGCUGAAGCUCAGAGAGCGGCUCAGGACCCCAUCUUCUGAAGCUCAGAAGAGCGGCUCAGGACCCCAUCUGCUGGCACCCUGAUUUUGGACUUUCAGUAUCCAAAACUACUCUAAACAGAGGUAGGGGUAAAAUCAUCUAAGAAAAUCCAGGGUCAGAGGAGUGGAGACUGAAGAGGAGAGCCCUUGUUGUGAGCAGCGAGCGGCUGGCAGGAAAUGCCACCUGAGCCAGCAGCCAGACCCUGCCUGGCAGGUACCACGAGGCCUGUUCCCUGGCACAGAAGCCAGAAAGCCAGUGGAAGUAGAGAGGAGUUCCAUUGUCCUGGAGCUUGGCUGUCACAGGUCUCCUGAACCAGGCUACUCAUUGGAAGCAGGGAUCUUCCAAUCCCCGUGACUCAGGUGAAGUAGCAUCCUUAGGGAUUACUUCCUCCGCCUUCGCGCCUGCCUGCUUCUGUUGGGGCAGGGCUCUGUGCAUGAGGAUGAAGACAAAUCUACAGGAGGAAGAUUCAAAAGAUCUCUGUUUGGGGAAGCUCUAAAACUGAAAAAUAAUCACAGCUAACAUUUACUGAGCAUAUGCUGCAUGCCUAGUAUUGUUCUAAGGGCUGUAUGGAUAUGAACUCAAUCCUCACAACUACCCCAUAAUGUAACUACUAUUAUUAUCCCUGUUUUCAUAUGAAAAAAACAAGAACUAGAGAGGUUAGCUACAUAAAAUGUCCAAGGUCACACAGAAAGGAAGGGAAAGAACCUAGAUUUGAAUCCCUGUCUGGUUUCAGGGCCCAUGUGCUUUGCUGUCAACUACUCUGCAAGGUACCUCUCUGAUAGGGAGGGACUUACCCAGCUUUCGCUCUACCCUCAGGGAGCUCCAGAAUGGUGUGACAUGCAUAUUCCUUGCCCCUCAAGAAUCCCCAAGUUUGAUAGGGGAGGCAGAUAUCCUGUCCUAGGAAGAUAUGUCCAGUCUGAUGGAAAAGACACAAGCUUUAUCUUUGGAUCAUCUGACUAAUACUAGGGACUCAGCCCCAGGAUGUCUACAGUUUGAUGAGUUAUGUUAUUAGAUUCUAAGAGACUCAGUUAAUUCGACUAGACAAAAUUGUGAGCCUUAGUGUUAAAGAGACGAGGAUGGAGCAAAGUUAGGGCAGCUUAAUUGGGGUUGCCCCAGGAGGGGAGGGUGAUACAAGAUUGGCAAUAAGCAGAAGAAAUGCUAGUGGAGAUAAGAGGGCAGGACACUUGUGUGGUGUGCAGACUUGCUGAAGACAAUGUCUGGAAAGCAGGGGUUUGCUUAGUUUAGCAGCUCUCUACCUUGGCUGUCUACUAGAAUCACCUGGAGCUAUGUCUAAAAAUACUGAUGCUUGAACUUCACCCCAGAACAAUUAAUCUUUAGGGAUGAGGGCAUGGCACUGGUGUUUUUAAACAGCCCUCAGGGCAGGGCAUGGUGGCUCAUGCCUGUAACCACAGCACUUUGGGAGGCUGAGGCGGGUGGAUCACCUGAGAUCAGGAGUUCGAGACCAGCUUGGCCAACAUGGCGAAAUGCUGUCUCUACUAAAAAUACAAAAACUACCCAGGCAUGGUGGCACACACCUGUAAUCCCAGCUACUUGGGAGGCUGUGGCAGGAGAAUCACUUGAACCCGGGAGGCGGAGGUUACAGUGAGCUGAGAUCAUGCCACGGCACUCCAGCCCAGGUGACAGAUCUAAACUCCAUCUCAAAAAAUUAAAAAAUAAUAAUAAUAAAAUUAAAGGCCCUCAGGAGGUGCUAUGCACAACUGGUGUUGAGGACCACUGGCUGGGGAUGAGGUCUAUGGUGUCUUAAGCUCUGAGAUCUGGGAUGCUGGAUGACUUAUGUGGAAGAAAUUCUAGAGACAUGAGUUUGCUAUGAACUGAGCUGGUGAAGAUUUGGAAUUAAAGGAAAGGGGGAGGGAAAAGAAAAGCUAAAGGACCAGAGGAGACAGGCCAGAUUGUUGUUUUCGCUGUUAGUGAGCUAGAGAAACUUGGUUCCUCUGUUUCUAGGCUUUUGAGGCAAAAUAAAAGGCCCACAAAAAUCCAAAAGGUCUGAUAACCCAGUCCCUUCUCAUAAAAAGAAUAGCUAUCAAGCCUGAUAUCAGACAUGGAGAUUAGGCAGGAAACACUGAGCUAAGAAUAUUCCCUUCCUUCGAUUAAAGACCUUUUUUUUUAAAUUAAUGCUCUCCUAGGCCGAGUGUGGUGGCUCACACCUGUAACCCCAGUACUUUGGGAGGCCGAGGCAGGCAAAUCACUUGAGGUCAGCAGUUCAAGACCAGCCUGGCCAACAUGGUGAAACCCCAUCUCUACUAAAAAUACAGAAAUUAGCUGGGCAUGGUGGCGGGUGCCUGUAAUCCCAGCUACUCAAGAGGCUGAGGCAGGAGAAUCGCUUGAACCCAGGAGAUGGAGGUUGCAGUGAGCCAAGAUCAUGCCACUACACUCCAGCCUGGGUGACAGAGUGCAACUCCUUCAAAAAAAAAAAAGAAAGAAAAGAAAAGAAAAGAAAACACACACACACCAAAAAUAAUACUUUCCUAAGUCAGGGUCACCCUCGCCUUCCCCUCCAUACACCAUCAUGUGGAGUGGAAAGGAGAAAAGGCUGUCUCGCUGACAUGUCCGGAGCUCCCUACCUCAGGGUUUUUGCCUUUGCUGCUACCAUCUUCCUGCUGCAUUCUUCCCUCAGACGCCUGAGCAGCUAAACCCUCAGUUCCUUCAGGUCUGUGCCCAAAUGUGGCUGUAGCAGAACAGCUUUCUUUGAUUACCUGUAAGAACAGUAAUUCCUCCCUCUCUCCCUCUCCCUAAUCUUUUAUCCUGCUUUAUUUGUCCCCCAUAGCAUUUACCAUAACCUAGUAUAUUUCAUAUUUUUUUCUACUGCCUCUGACUUUCCUCCAGAAUGGAACAUUAAAGGGAAAGACUUUGUCCUUUUUUUUUUAUUAUUAUUGUCUCCCCAAAGCCUAGAAUGGUGACUGGAAAAUAGCAGUCUGGAGCUGAAAAAAUAUCUGUGGAAUGUAUGAUUAAUGAAUGAACAAAUGAAAAGCCUUAUGUGUCUGUGUGUUGGUGUCUUUCUGUGUACGUUUGGGAUUGCAGUCCUAUUUCUCUGGCCAAAGUAUGGCUCUAUUCUUAAGCUGUGCUUGCCUGUGUUUUGGAAUAUAUGAAGAAUUCUCUGGGUCUGUGCAUAUGGGGC